rnacentral:rRNA from 1 species
UACGGAGGGGGCUAGCGUUGUUCGGAAUUACUGGGCGUAAAGCGCGCGUAGGCGGCUUUGUAAGUUAGAGGUGAAAGCCCGGAGCUCAACUCCGGAAUUGCCUUUAAGACUGCAUCGCUAGAAUCAUGGAGAGGUGAGUGGAAUUCCGAGUGUAGAGGUGAAAUUCGUAGAUAUCUGGAGGAACACCGGUGGCGAAGGCGGCAUCCUGGACCAAUUCUGACGCUGAGGAGCGAAAGCCAGGGGAGCAAACGGG